UACGAAGGGGGCUAGCGUUGCUCGGAAUCACUGGGCGUAAAGCGCACGUAGGCGGAUUGUUAAGUCAGGGGUGAAAUCCUGGAGCUCAACUCCAGAACUGCCCUUGAUACUGGCGAUCUCGAGUCCGGGAGAGGUGAGUGGAACUGCGAGUGUAGAGGUGAAAUUCGUAGAUAUUCGCAAGAACACCAGUGGCGAAGGCGGCUCACUGGCCCGGUACUGACGCUGAGGUGCGAAAGCGUGGGAGCAAACAGG
rnacentral:rRNA from 1 species